CCAUGGAUGCUGUGAAGUCUGUGGAGUUUGAAGCUGUGUGGUUGAACGGCACCAGUGAAUUCGCAUUAAAGUGAUGGUAGUGCUACAUUGCUGUAGUGCCUAGAAUGUACUGUAGGCCCGUGUGCCCGUGUAGGCCUGUAUUGUAGGCCCGCAUGCUCAGAUUUGGGUGCACGUUAAAGAACCCCAGGUGGUCGAAAUUUCCGGAGCCCUCCACUACGGCGUCUCUCAUAAUCAUAUGGUGGUUUUGGCACGUUAAACCCCACAUAUAAAUCAAUCAAUCAAUCAAUCAAUUAGAAUGUACUAUAUUCGACACAUCGCUGCGAAUGUCUUGAAGGAUCGACCGGUCGACUUUAAGGUGUCAGGUGCGUCGGCAUAAGGCAUCGUUGCGACACGAUGCCGAUGGGUUGCACAACAGCCCCUACUCUUGGAGAUGACUGCUGCAGUGCUCAGCAAUCGCAAGAAAACACAACUUUCCGCAGUUCUCAAGUGGCAUUCACGAAUGAAGUUGCAGCAAUUGUGGAGAUUGGACCAUUGGAAACUUUACAGACUCGUGCAUCAUACUCUAUAUUGCAAAAUGAUGCGGAUAUCUCAUUUAAGGCUAACACAGCUAUUCCAUUUUUAUGGCACUAUCAAUUGCUCCCCGAAAGUCGUUUCUAUGCCUCUGACCACGACUACUGUGCCAAGCACCAUGCAGGAACACAGACUGGAGAAAAAACAAAUUCAACAGAUGCGCAAUGUGCUCUCAGUGUAAAGGCUCUUAAAGGUGAAGGCACACAAACAGAUUGGACUGAUCGAGAGUUGGAGCCUUGCUUUCAAGACAAGGCCACAGAGUGCCGGUGGACACAGAGAACUUGUUUUACCAGAAGUGCAAGGCGUUGACUUCAACACAUCCAUCGAAUUCAACUGCAAGACUGUACACAAGAAGCUCGACACCAGUGUCGACGUCAUCUACCUCGUGUUUCUUUUUGGAUAUGCAGCAAAGGUUGACUGUCGAACCAUCAUAUAGCAGAUUGAUGACAAAGCACAUCAUCCAUCACUUGAUGAGUCACUCGAGAGGCUGCCUAAUCAGUGACAGUGCCUAUCCAGCGAUGCCUUGGCUGCUGCCUUCUUACCGUCAACGUGGAGCCAGCUGACAGCCGUGGAUGCAGACCUUUAACGCAGCAGAUUGCGGGCAACGCAUCGUCAUAAGAGGAGCUUUUGUUCCGUGUGCUCAGAUUUGGGUGCACGUUAAAGGACUCUAGGUGGUUGAAAUUCCUGGAGCCCUCCACUAUGGCGUCUCUCAUAAUCAUAUGGUAAUUUUGGGAUGUUAAACCCCACAUAUCAAUCAAUCAAUCAAAGAGCUUUUGUUCUGCUGAAGACUCUUCUAAUGGCUCAUGCAUGUCGACGUCGCUACCAUCUUACAAACUAUGGACAGACAUCAUGAUGACGGCUUGCGUUCUGCACAUCGCAAGCAGCAGUGACGACUGUAUGAACGAUGAGCAACUGGUGGACAUUGAUGCAGAUCUUUAGGCGAAAGCACCAGAAAGUUGAACUGUAGCAUCAGCCCUUGUGACAACUGUGCGCGACUCCGUUGCCUAGGCUCUGUAGCUUUUUUAUUAUAAAAGGACUAAAAUAAGAAUACUUUUUUAUUUGUGGUAAUCAUUUUGUAAUAUUGUGUUCAAACUAUAUAUAUUUACUGCUUUAGCUAAUAGAUAUACACCCCUUCACUUUUAAUGUGCACCAAACAGUCGAAAUUGUAAUUAGGUGUUCGUGUUGCCAGUAUAUAUUUACAGCCAUCACAAGACAAGUUUCGCAUACGCGAUUCGCUCCUGAAAGCUUUCAUUUGUGCUCUGCACAUACAUUGCACCUUGCAUAAUCCACACUUUGAUCAUGAGUUUUAAAAGACUAGUUUAUUUUUUCACUGAGGUCAAUAUCAUUAAUACAAGACUACAGAGUUUCAAAGUUAAAGUGAGAUCUCUGGUAUUACUGGCAAUGAGGAACAACGGCACUACUAAUAGAGUGACUGAUUAAAAUGAAAAAAGUGAGUAAAACACGCAAAGUGAGUUUUUAGCGUACGUAAGGAGAGCACCAAAGCAAUUUGGAAUGCACACAAAAAACAAGGUGGCUACAUUGCUUGAAAAAAUACCAAGAAAAACUGAUAAAUUGCAAGAGAAUUCAUAAAAAUGAAAUCCAAUUAUUUAAAAAAAAAUAAUGAAUAGAAAAUGUUAGAACAAACGAAUUAUUCAGCUGCCGAGAGCUAUGAGCAACGUCAUUUUCUGCAGCCGCCACAAGUCUUUCACACAAAGCUUCAUGCCAGCCCUGACUGGCCAUUAACUCAUUAUGCCGUUGGCCCUCUUCUUCUCUGCUUCUCCUAAUCUCGACAUGUUUGUUCUUGUGGGACUUCUUGGUCACAAGGUUCUGAUUGGGGCACUGCUGAUGAAACAUUGGUGUACUCAUACGAGCCACCUGUGAUGUGCUCCAGUGGCUUGGGCUGAGUGCUGAAAUGAAUAGAGUAUACUGCAUGGUCACCACACGGUAGAUGGCAGAAAACAUUCACGCAGCAGAGAUUGCAAAAAAAGGAAAUGCAAUCCUAGUGUAUACAGCAGAAACUACCAGAAAAUUAUAACCAGUUGACAUUAUAAAAUUGUUAUUGACUGCACGCUCCCACUCUUCCUAAUUUUGAUCAUUGCAGAUAGAACAAAUUGCAAAACAGAUAAUAAUUUUGAGACUAUAUAACUAUGCUAAACAUGCGUCCUUUCUAUGCAAACGUGUUAAUUGAAACAAUUCAUGCUAUUAGUCACAUGAAUAAAAUUUACUUAAACGACACAUACAUUCAGCUACCCGUCCUAGCUUAUAUGGACAAAAAAAAUUACAUACAACACUAAUAUUUUCAUUCCUCUGUAGGAGGUCAUUCAAGUGUCUGUUGUUUCCAUUAAUUCAGUGUAAGUGCUUCUUCAAUUAAUGUGUAUAUAUAUAAAAAAGAACGAAGUAUCUUGAAUGCAUGCAGUAGCAAUAAUGACUUAUUGAUUUUUUUUUUUCGCCACUCCUGGUUCGAGCAGGUACGUCGAGUUAACACUGUGGUGUUUCUCUAGCUCCUCGCUGAGC
rnacentral:lncRNA from 1 species